rnacentral:lncRNA from 1 species
GUUGUUGAUGUUGUUGCGGUGGUAAUGGUUGUUGUUGCAGUGAUUGUUCUAACUGAUGUUGUUGUUUUUGUUGUUGUUUGUUGUUACUGUUUUCAUUGUUGUCAACAAAAUAAGCGCUCUGUAUAACUUCUUUCUUUGAUUGCUUUCUAUCAACUUUAUCUGCAAUAUACACCCAGUGUUCUAGCCACCAAGUUGUUAUAUCUGAUUAUUAUUCCGAAGGUCGAACUACACAUAACAUAGUUUUGUAAGUGUAGAAAACAUUCCGUACUGUUAAUUUUGUAAAAAUCUGAUUAACUAAGUUGUGUUUUACAAUCGUUUAAGCUUUCUAAUCAAAUAAUAAGAAAUGUUUUUACUUAUUUGCUUUUUUAUUAACUAAAAAGAAAUUGAAAUAAACAUCAACCCCCUGUUAUAAUUAAAGGCAAAAACACAGGCUUCUACUUAAUAGAAAGGACAACCAAAGUAAAAAAAAUCUAAUCAUUUCAUCUCUAAUCUCCGCGAAAACAAUUUAAAUAAAUAGUUGUCUAAAGUUAGAGGAAGUAGAAACCGUAUAAGGAAAUAUUACAAUCUGUUAAAGAAGACCUAUAUUUAAGUAUUUAAGUAUUUUGACAAACUUAACAAAACGUAAAAACAAACAUAAACGAAGCAAAUGUUGCCGAACUUUUAUAAAGAAGAAUGGUUAUGCGAUUAUUCAAAUUGUUUGCGUUUCGAAUUCAGAGAACACUGUUUUCUACCAAGUCCGCAAAGAAACACACUUAACGAAAGUGAUAAGAAAAAUUUUAAAAAAAGAGUAAGUUUUGCUGAUGAAAAAGUUGGAGGAGUUUUAUGUCAAGUAAAGCUUUACGAAGCACUUAAAGAUGUUGAUGAUAAAAGUAAUCCUUCUUUUGAAUAUGUUAAUGACGAAAUAACAAGUCGCUAUUUUGUUUUUAAUGAAGAAACCUUAAAAGAUAAAAGCGUAUGCGCUGUUGAGUUUGGCACGCUGUCUGAUAAACAUUUGUUUGGCCUAGCUGCUGUCAAAUCUAUUGAUACUCAAAAAAAAGUUAUUGUUCGAUUGACUCUUGAUAGUUGGAAAACAUCUCAAGAUGUAAUUUGCGACUUUGUUCAAAGAGACGUUAAUCGAGGUUGCGAUUACUUCUUUUUUUUGGCUUUACUUAACAUAAAGAGUUUUUUUCUAGUAAAAAAAACCACUGAAUUUUCUGUUUGUUUUUGUACAGACACAAAUGUUUUUUGGGAUGACAACAAAAACAAAAAUUAUAGAUUUGAAUAAAAAACUUUUUUUGAGUUGAAAUACUUUUUAUGUAAAAUCAACUUAAUAAAAUAAAAAAUAAAAAAAGUAAAAUAUUUAAUUGAAAGUUACUAGUAUUAUUACUCUUAAUAUUAUUGGAAUAAAUGGUCACACCUACUAAUAAAAAAUUAAACUUUUUUAAAUUUUUAUGAAAGUUUUUUUUUCUCCAAAAUUAAAUUCUUUUAAUGAUAUUUUAACUCUUGCAAAGUUUGUUAGAAGAUCUUAUUUGUUCAAAACAUAUUUUAUUAUUCUCGUUUUUACUUUAUAUAACUUAUUUUUAUAUUCUUACUUUUUAUUUUGUUAACAAUUUUUAUUUUAUUAGACGAUUGGAUGAUUUGAAAUUUUCUUUUUAAUCAAUUUUUAUAACUAUUGAAAGUAUUUCAGUACAUAAUAUAUUUUAAAUAGAUUUUUAAAGUUUUUUUUCCUUCUUGAAAUAACUAAAGUAUAUUUGUCUCUAAUUUGGCUUGUAUUUGCCGUGUAUCUAUUUUGUGCGCAAUUUUUGAAUACAAAAACAAUUAUAACAUUUUUUGUCAAUUGCUAUAAAUUUUAGGCUUAAUAAGUAAUGAAAGUUCAAAAUUUAUAUCGGAACGUUUUGCGGCCAUAUCUUUUCUUUUCAAUAAUAAAACAUGAAAAUGUUUGCAGCUAUAUAAAAUUGAGUAUAAAGUUUAUGGAAUCUCUCCAAAAGUCUCUCGAUAACUCUUCCAAAGAAAGUAAAAAAGAAAUGUGCAGAAUCCUUUGAUAAAACUCUAGUUGGUGUGGAGAAAGGAGUGGCUUGUGCCUUUCUUACGGUUUUAUCACAGUGCACCUAGGGCAAGCAUUUGAAAGGAAGUUCACGCUAUUUUCCGUACCAAUUUAUAAAACUUGCUCAUAGAUGUUGUUGAAUCACGGAUCUCUAGCUUCUGAGGCAAGUGCGCAACCACUGCGCUGCGGCUCCUCAAAUCGUGAAAAGAAAUCUGUAUUUUUUUUUAUUAUUUUAUGAAAAAAUCUUAA